UACGUAGGGGGCAAGCGUUGUCCGGAAUUACUGGGCGUAAAGGGAGCGUAGGCGGUCUUUUAAGUUAGAUGUGAAAUACCCGGGCUCAACUUGGGAGGUGCAUCUAAAACUGGGGGACUUGAGUGCAGGAGAGGAAAGUGGAAUUCCUAGUGUAGCGGUGAAAUGCGUAGAUAUUAGGAGGAACACCAGUGGCGAAGGCGACUUUCUGGACUGUAACUGACGCUGAGGCUCGAAAGCGUGGGGAG
rnacentral:rRNA from 1 species